GCUGACAACUUGCCACAUUGGGAGGAGUUUGUUGCCUGUCUUCAGAAAAUCAAGUAUGGAUUCAACCUGCUGGGAAAGCUGAAUGGAGCGAUCCAGAACCCUAGCGCUGCUGACUUUGUCCACAUUCUCUUCUCCACUCUGGACAUGUUGGUGUGCCACUACCCCC